GAUGAACGCUGGCGGCGUGCCUAAUACAUGCAAGUCGAGCGAACAGACGAGGAGCUUGCUCCUCUUACGUUAGCGGCGGACGGGUGAGUAACACGUGUAUAACCUACCUAUAAGACUGGGAUAACUUCGGGAAACCGGAGCUAAUACCGGAUAAUAUAUUUAACCGCAUGGUUCAAUAGUGAAAGACGGUUUUGCUGUCUCUUAUAGAUGGAUCCGCGCCGCAUUAGCUAGUUGGUAAGGUAACGGCUUACCAAGGCAACGAUGCGUAGCCGACCUGAGAGGGUGAUCGGCCACACUGGAACUGAGACACGGUCCAGACUCCUACGGGAGGCAGCAGUAGGGAAUCUUCCGCAAUGGGCGAAAGCCUGACGGAGCAACGCCGCGUGAGUGAUGAAGGUCUUCGGAUCGUAAAACUCUGUUAUUAGGGAAGAACAAAUGUGUAAGUAACUAUGCACGUCUUGACGGUACCUAAUCAGAAAGCCACGGCUAACUACGUG
rnacentral:rRNA from 1 species